AUUGAACGCUGGCGGCAGGCCUAACACAUGCAAGUCGCGCGAGCGGCGGACGGGUGAGUAAUUUCUGGGUAUCUGCCAGAUGGAGUGGGAUAACUACUGGAAACGGUAGCUAAUACCGCAUACUAUCGGAUGCACCCAUAUGGGAUUAGCUAGUAGGUGGGGUAAAGGCUCACCUAGGCGACGAUCCCUAGCUGGUCGGAGAGGAUGAUCAGCCACACUGGGACUUAGACACGGUCCAGACUCCUACGGGAGGCAGCAGUGGGGAAUAUUGAACAAUGGGCGCAAGCCUGAUGCAGCCAUGCCGCGUGUAUGAAGAAGGCCUUAGGGUUGUAAAGUACGUUCAGCGGGGAGGCGUUACCCGCAGAAGAAGCACCGGCUAACUCCGUGCCAGCAGCCGCGGUAAUUC
rnacentral:rRNA from 1 species